GGCUGGGGAAGACUGUGUGAUGUGGGUGGUUUGUUCCUGUGACUCUACUCUGUCUUUGUAGGUGGUGGAAUGGUCUCGGUGUGUGUUUGUCCUUCCCGUGGUGUUAAGUGAGUAGUUGGGCCGGUGAGCCUUUGAAAGUGCCUUUUUGUGGUGUGGAGUUUUUUGUUUGUUUGGUAGUUGUUUCCUUUGUUGUUUUCAACCUCUUCUUUUCUUUUUGGCCUUAUUGAUAAAGAGGUGUUGCCAACUCUUUGUGUUAGGAUUAUUUGCAAUAAAAACAUUAUAUGCUAAACAACUCGGUCUGCUUUCCUUCUCAUUCUGUUCUGUUACCGAUCCCACUCACACCCCUAGACCUCUUCGUGGGGAUGUAACAAUGUUGUAGGGUAAGUAUUUAAAGUGGAUUAUAUAGGUUAGGUAUCUUUAAAAUACUGUAUACAGCAUACUUGCUGUAAAACAAAUAUUGUAGGCUGUAGAAAAUAAAAAUGCAACUCAAAUAUUUUACACAAGCUUUAGAUAACAGGAAGUUGGAUAACAUGUAUGUGUAAAAUGUUUAAGCUCCAUUUUCAGUCACAUUGUUUUGAAUGCUUGUUAAUUGAACUUUUUGAAAUACAGGCAUGGACUCCAGGGUGUUUUGUUUUUGUUUUUUUUGUUUUUUUUUUCCUCUCAUUGUAUGAUAAUUCUUAAGUAUCAGAUACCAGCCUGAAUUUUACUGGGUAUCAGAUCAAAAAGGAAAUCUGUGUUGUGACACAUAGUGGAAAUUUUUAUUUCUUUUAUAAUUGGUUUUAUUCUGAUUUUAGUGUUUGUUUUAUUUGCAUGAUUUUAUUCUGAUGUUUAUUGCAUGUUUUUUUUUUUUUUAAGUGUUUUCAUAUGACAUUGUUUUAAUCCACUGUGGACUGGCUGGCCAUGGGACAAAUUGGCUGAUAGUAAUCACCUGCUGAGGUGUGGGUGUGUCCUGAGGUGGCCUAUCAGCUGGUGAAAGGGCCCAUUUAAAAGGAAGCUGGCUGAGCAUUGCAGGAGGCCCAGAUAUAAAGAGAAAUGCAGAGAAGCCAGGCGCUGGCGCGAUUGUGCUGCCCGAUCGUCAGAGGCGUAAUGCGACGACCCAGUUUGGACAGUAGGAACGGUAAUGGCAAGAGACAAUGCGCGUGAUUGACAGCAGGGCAGAGGUGCAUUUGUUAGUAGUGUCUCAACUGUUGUUUACCAGGUGCAACUAUGUUGGAGGGUCUUCAUAGCAAUUAGCCAGGCCAGCUUCCCGGAUGAUGGUUCUGGCCAGUAUUUAUCUGCUUGCAGGGCGAUGCCACGAGGGAAGACGCUGUGGUAGCAAGCGACAGACUAAAGUGCAGAGUGUAAGCUGGGCUGUGAUGGGAGGCGUCCCCCUUGUCCUCCUGGUACUAGGCUGGUGUGGUCCCCGCUAGAGUUGGAUGUCUCAAGACCACUUUUACGUGGUCUUGCUGUCUCAGAUCGACAUGGUAUUUGGGAGAUUUGGAGUAAACAGUAUCCACGACACACAAUGUAACGUUUUCAUGCGCAAAAGCAUCAGCUCUAAGAGCCGUGCUUUGUAAUGAAUCAGAAGAGUCGACUCCCAUUGAGCGAGAGCCAGCUCCCCCCUUAAUUUCUUUUUGCUGCUCAGCUCUCACACAGUGGCUCAGCUAUGCUCCAAUCCCUCCAUAUUGUGGCUAAUCACAUGUGAGGAUAUAGGAUAAUAUCAUUAUGUGAAAAACAGAGGGUGAGAGACGCGACAGUCAAGUGGAGCGCUGCGUCUGUCAUCUCAGUGAGUGAGACGUAGACAGCGGUGAGGAGAGCUGUGCGAGUGCAUCACAAACACAUAAAUAUGCCUGACACCCGUAAACGAAGCAGCAUCCGGCUGCAGCUGAAAGGCUUUUUUGUCUUAGACUUGUCCUGACUUUGUCUUGGUCUUCACUCGAUCUGUCUUGGUCCUGGUCUUGAUACCCUCUAGUCUUUGGUAUUGUCUUGGUUUAGGCGGUCUUGACUACAAGUCUAGUCCCUGCUCCAAAGAGAAAUUGGACCCCUGUUGUCAAACACUAGGAACAUUUGUCCUGCCUUUUUUUUUUUUUUUUUUUUAAGGAAAAUGGCAUUGCUGGGCUGUGGGGGAUUUCAGUGCACAAAGAACAUUUCAUACAUACAUUUGUUAUUCUUCCUUUCUGGCCUGGAAAUAAACUCUUUCUAAUUAAGACUUGUAGUGUUGCAGUGCCCUGGGUUUCUGAUUUGCUUGCUCCCCACUUGUAUUUACCUCCCUAGUAUGACAUUCAGGUGCACUAGCUUUAGUGCAAUUGCACAUCACUACUGUGAACACUCUGCUCUUUUAGUUUUCAGUCCUUUAUUUAUCCAGGUAAAAUCUCAUUGAGAUUAAAAAUCUCAUUUCCAAGAGAGACCUGGUAUCAUGGCAACAAAUGUCAAAAUACACCUACUACACAAGUAUAAAAGCUCUCACUUUGGUUAUACAAGAACCCCCAGUUUUCCUACACUAACAUGCACAUGAUCCCACAGGGAAACAGGCAGCAAGUCUUUUGAAAGUCCAUGAAACUCCUGCUGACUGGAUGGUCAGACUCCUAUGACCUCUCCAAAAGUCCAGGAAGACUAAAACGCUAAUACAGAAAAUAAAACCUGCACUUUCCUAUUGACA
ensembl:lncRNA